rnacentral:misc_RNA from 1 species
CCAAAAGAUAAUCUUUUUUAUUUUGAAAAAGAUCUUUUCCAUUGUGCUGGCUUUGACUGUAUUGUCAUUUUAGGGCUUAAACAUGGUGUUCAAUGCCUGCCCUAAAAACAUUAUACCAACCUUAUGAAAACUGACUGAACAAAGUAAAACAAUGAUAAUUUGUUUAAAAA